rnacentral:snoRNA from 13 species
UUUGCACCUAAACUCCAAAAUUGCUGUUAAUAUAGCAGUGAUUUAAACAGAUGUGCAGACAAGUGGAUCUCAUCACCUUUGGAGGGCUGUGACUAUGCCCCUCAAAGUGAAUGUGGAGGUUCUAUAUCC